UCCGUAGGUGAACCUGCGGAAGGAUCAUUAUCAAAACAGCGGACUUCGGUCCUUGCUGCACCCUUGUCUUUUGCGUACCGUAUGUUUCCUCGGCGGGCUUGCCUGCCGGUUGGACAUUAUCAAACCUUUUUGUAGUUGCAAUCAGCGUCAGAAAAUAAACAAUAAUUACAACUUUCAACAACGGAUCUCUUGGUUCUGGCAUCGAUGAAGAACGCAGCGAAAUGCGAAAAGUAGUGUGAAUUGCAGAAUUCAGUGAAUCAUCGAAUCUUUGAACGCACAUUGCGCCCCUUGGUAUUCCAUGGGGCAUGCCUGUUCGAGCGUCAUUUUGUACCCUCAAGCACUGCUUGGUGUUGGGCGUUUGUCCUGCAAAGGACUCGCCUGAAAGCGAUUGGCGGCCAACGUACUGGUGGUAGAGCGCAGCACAAUUUGCGUCUCUCCCUUCUACGUUAGCGUCCAUGAAGCCUUUUUCAAACGUUUGACCUCGGAUCAGGUAGGGAUACCCGCUGAACUUAAGCAUAUCAAUAAGCGGAGGAG
rnacentral:sRNA from 1 species